rnacentral:lncRNA from 1 species
UUUCUCAAAGAAAGGAAUACCCCAUGCAAAGGGCCAAAAACUAUUGGUCUUUGUUAUCAAAUUUAAUAUCGAACAUAUGCGCAUUCAGACUAUUAAAUUGAGAACCUCACUGAACAUAAUCAUCAUGUUUCAUGGGAAAUGGUAAUAGGAAACUAAUAAAAUGUUAUUUUAAUCAAUCUCGACAGAAUCAAUGCACGGUAGUAGCUUCAUGAGGUGUGACCUACGAGUGCAUAAAUAUCCCAAUAUACCAGCUCGAAAGAAGCCACUCUCUGUAGCUUGUUCAGCUCAGCCAACAAAGACACCGGAGCAUGGACCGGGCGCAAUCACCCCGCAUCACUGGAGCCGCCGGGAGCACACUCGUUAACCUGCACAUGAAAAAUGUUUCUCAAAGAAAGGAAUACCCCAUGCAAAGGGCCAAAAACUAUUGGUCUUUGUUAUCAAAUUUAAUAUCAAACAUAUGCGCAUUCACACUAUUAAAUUGAGAACCUCACUCAACAUAAUCAUCAUGUUUCAUGGGAAAUGGUAAUAGAAAACUAAUAAAAUGUUAUUUUAAUCAAUCUCGACAGAAUCAAUGCACGGUAGUAGCUUCAUGAGGUGUGACCUACGAGUGCAUAAAUAUCCCAAUAUACCAGCUCGAAAGAAGCCACUCUCUGUAGCUUGUUCAGCUCAGCCAACAAAGACACCGGAGCAUGGACCGGGCGCAAUCACCCCGCAUCACUGGAGCCGCCGGGAGCACACUCGUUAACCUG